GUAGGUGGCAAGCGUUGUCCGGAAUUAUUGGGGCGUAUAGCGCGCGCAGGCGGUUCGUUUAAGUCUGAUGUGAAAGCCCACGGGCUCAACCGUGGAGGGUCAUUGGAAACUGGAGAACUUGAGUACAGAAGAGGAAAGCGGAAUUCCACGUGUAGCGGUGAAAUGCGUAGAGAUGUGGAGGAACACCAGUGGCGAAGGCGGCUUUCUGGUCUGUAACUGACGCUGAGGCGCGAAAGCGUGGGGAGCAAACAGGAUUAGAUACCCUGGUAGUCCACGCCGUAAACGAUGAGUGCUAAGUGUUAGGGGGUUUCCGCCCCUUAGUGCUGCAGCUAACGCAUUAAGCACUCCGCCUGGGGAGUACGGCCGCAAAGGCUGA
rnacentral:rRNA from 1 species